rnacentral:rRNA from 1 species
UACGUAGGGUCCGAGCGUUGUCCGGAAUUACUGGGCGUAAAGAGCUCGUAGGUGGUUUGUCGCGUUGUUCGUGAAAACUCACAGCUUAACUGUGGGCGUGCGGGCGAUACGGGCAGACUUGAGUACUGCAGGGGAGACUGGAAUUCCUGGUGUAGCGGUGGAAUGCGCAGAUAUCAGGAGGAACACCGGUGGCGAAGGCGGGUCUCUGGGCAGUAUCUGACGCUGAGGAGCGAAAGCGUGGGGAGCGAACAGG